AAGAAUUCUCCUGAGCCUCAGAAAGCAGCCUGGGCUUCAGCCAGCAAACUCUGAAACUGGGAACCAGCACGAGAAAUCUUCCAAACAACCCUUUCCGCUCUGCCUCGAGAUCCAGGAGAGGAGGCAUCUGAUGCUCAGUAUGUGUGGGGGAAUCAUUUUUCUUUUCAGAUCCUUCUCCAUUUUCUCACAGUUCCGUUCUCAGGCAACGCUGCAGUGGCUGUUGGAACAGCAGGAAAUGGCAGGUGGAAGAGGAGUUACUCCAUCGGAGUAGGUGUGGUCCUGAAGGAGGCGAACACCUGCUGGCUUUUGCCCCUUGAUGGUCCCACCCUUAGCUCCAGGUACAUGUGUGGGAAGCUGGCAGCAGGGCAGAAUAGAGCAACACAGCUCUCAGCUGUAGCUUUCUGAUGAAUCCUUAAUAAUGACCAUGAUAUAUGCAAUACUUUUCUGCACUAAUAAGCACCAAACCAAGAAAACAAUCUUAAAAGGGAAGAGGAAAAGAUAUAUUAAUUCUAUAGGAAUGUUUUGCAUAAUUGGGAUUUCUCGUCAUAAACAAUAGAGGGUAAAAGAAAGCAG
rnacentral:lncRNA from 1 species